AGAGGUAUAUUUCUGAAACGAAUUAAGAAAUAUUCUUAGCAAAACACAUGCAAAGAAGAAAGUUUGGCAAGAUCCUCCCCCCUACUUAGCCCACGUUGCCCACAAUGUGCAAAAAAGAAUAAUAAAAGUUUAGGCAAAGUGUACUCCCCGUGUAUAUUCAAUGGGUCGGAGGACGAUGGAAGUGACUGCUUUGUAAUAUGUUGAGGAUGCUUGAGAUGUUUGCUUCAAUUGUUUCAAGGUGAGUUUCAAUACGAUGAAGUCGUUCAUCCAUAGUUGAAGGUAGUUGCUCCUCUUGUUCCUUUUUAACUUGGGCAAGCCUUCUAGGGAAUGGUGGAGGUCCAACAAAUGUUUUCUAUGGUGUCGGCUUUGUGGAAGUUGCUGGUUCGGCUUUUUGUUCUUCCUAUUCAGCGUCAUGGUCACAACUCGUGCCAGACACUAGUUUUGACUCUGUUCCAUCUUUAACGGUCAUAACACUCGCAUUUUGACGUGGGUUUGGCUCGAUUUGAGAUGGAAAUUUUCCUUAGUUCUCCAAACGACUAAUCGUAGUGCUAACUUAAUUAUUUGCUGAUCAAUUUCUUGGAAGGGCGCCUCAGACUUUUGUUGGAACUUUUCAGUACUAACGACCAACCUUUCUACUAUGGCUUCAAGAGAUGACUUUGCAGGUAGAUAUUGUUGAGGCAGAGGUGGUCUUAGUUGAUAUGGUUGAUUGUAUCGAGAGUUUGAUCCAUAGCUUAGACUCAGGUGGUCUCUCCACCCUGCAUUGUACGUUGUUCGAAUAUGGAUCAUAGCGCUUUUGAGGUUUCCCUGGAGAGUUCCCAACGACAUCUACUUGUAUAGUUGUGUCCUGUAAAAUCGAGCACGAGUCAGUAGGAUGAUCAAGCUUAGUGCAAAUCCUGCAUAACUGAGCUGGGUUCAUCUUUCCU
rnacentral:lncRNA from 1 species